rnacentral:rRNA from 1 species
GUAGGUGGCAAGCGUUGUCCGGAAUUAUUUGGCGUAAAGCGCGCGCAGGCGGUUCUUUAAGUCUGAUGUGAAAGCCCACGGCUCAACCGUGGAGGGUCAUUGGAAACUGGAGAACUUGAGUACAGAAGAGGAAAGCGGAAUUCCACGUGUAGCGGUGAAAUGCGUAGAGAUGUGGAGGAACACCAGUGGCGAAGGCGGCUUUCUGGUCUGUAACUGACGCUGAGGCGCGAAAGCGUGGGGAGCAAACAGGAUUAGAUACCCUGGUAGUCCACGCCGUAAACGAUGAGUGCUAAGUGUUAGGGGGUUUCCGCCCCCCUUAGUGCUGCAGCUAACGCAUUAAGCACUCCGCCUGGGAGUACGGCCGCAAGGCUG